GCGGAAACGAGUUAUCUGAACCUUCGGGGAACGAUAACGGCGUCGAGCGGCGGACGGGUGAGUAAUGCCUAGGAAAUUGCCCUGAUGUGGGGGAUAACCAUUGGAAACGAUGGCUAAUACCGCAUAAUGCCUACGGGCCAAAGAGGGGGACCUUCGGGCCUCUCGCGUCAGGAUAUGCCUAGGUGGGAUUAGCUAGUUGGUGAGGUAAUGGCUCACCAAGGCGACGAUCCCUAGCUGGUCUGAGAGGAUGAUCAGCCACACUGGAACUGAGACACGGUCCAGACUCCUACGGGAGGCAGCAGUGGGGAAUAUUGCACAAUGGGCGCAAGCCUGAUGCAGCCAUGCCGCGUGUGUGAAGAAGGCCUUCGGGUUGUAAAGCACUUUCAGUCGUGAGGAAGGUAGUGUAGUUAAUAGCUGCAUUAUUUGACGUUAGCGACAGAAGAAGCACCGGCUAACUCCGUGCCAGCAGCCGCGGUAAUACGGAGGGUGCGAGCGUUAAUCGGAAUUACUGGGCGUAAAGCGCAUGCAGGUGGUUUGUUAAGUCAGAUGUGAAAGCCCGGGGCUCAACCUCGGAAUAGCAUUUGAAACUGGCAGACUAGAGUACUGUAGAGGGGGGUAGAAUUUCAGGUGUAGCGGUGAAAUGCGUAGAGAUCUGAAGGAAUACCGGUGGCGAAGGCGGCCCCCUGGACAGAUACUGACACUCAGAUGCGAAAGCGUGGGGAGCAAACAGGAUUAGAUACCCUGGUAGUCCACGCCGUAAACGAUGUCUACUUGGAGGUUGUGGCCUUGAGCCGUGGCUUUCGGAGCUAACGCGUUAAGUAGACCGCCUGGGGAGUACGGUCGCAAGAUUAAAACUCAAAUGAAUUGACGGGGGCCCGCACAAGCGGUGGAGCAUGUGGUUUAAUUCGAUGCAACGCGAAGAACCUUACCUACUCUUGACAUCCAGAGAACUUUCCAGAGAUGGAUUGGUGCCUUCGGGAACUCUGAGACAGGUGCUGCAUGGCUGUCGUCAGCUCGUGUUGUGAAAUGUUGGGUUAAGUCCCGCAACGAGCGCAACCCUUAUCCUUGUUUGCCAGCGAGUAAUGUCGGGAACUCCAGGGAGACUGCCGGUGAUAAACCGGAGGAAGGUGGGGACGACGUCAAGUCAUCAUGGCCCUUACGAGUAGGGCUACACACGUGCUACAAUGGCGCAUACAGAGGGCAGCAAGCUAGCGAUAGUGAGCGAAUCCCAAAAAGUGCGUCGUAGUCCGGAUUGGAGUCUGCAACUCGACUCCAUGAAGUCGGAAUCGCUAGUAAUCGUGGAUCAGAAUGCCACGGUGAAUACGUUCCCGGGCCUUGUACACACCGCCCGUCACACCAUGGGAGUGGGCUGCAAAAGAA
rnacentral:rRNA from 1 species